GAGCCGUAGCGAAAGCGAGUUUUAACUGAGCGUUCAGUUACUUGACGUAGACCCGAAACCGGGCGACCUACCCAUGAGCAGGAUGAAGCGAAAGUAAAAUUUCGUGGAGGUCCGAACCCACGAGCGUUGAAAAGCUCGGGGAUGACUUGUGGGUAGCGGUGAAAUUCCAAUCGAGCCCGGAGAUAGCUGGUUCUCCCCGAAAUAGCUUUAGGGCUAGCCUCAAGGUGAGAGAUACGGAGGUAGAGCACUGAAUGUCCUAGGGGGUAUUGCACCUACCGAAGACUAUCAAACUCCGAAUGCCGUCAUCUUAUACUUGGGAGUCAGACUGUGGGUGAUAAGAUUCAUAGUCGAAAGGGCAACAGCCCAGAUCGUCAGCUAAGGUCCCUAAAUGUAAGUUAAGUGGUAAAGGAUGUGGGAUUGCACAGACAACCAGGAUGUUGGCUUAGAAGCAGCCACUCAUUCAAAGAGUGCGUAAUAGCUCACUGGUCGAGUGAUCCUGCGCCGAAGAUUUCCGGGGCUAAAACUUACUACCGAAGCUACGGCAUCAGUAAUGAUGGGUAGGGGAGCUUCCCAUACGGGUUGAAGCAUGACCGUAAGGACAUGUGGACAGUAUGGGAGUGAGAAUGUUGGCAUGAGUAGCGAGAUGUGGGUGAGAAUCCCACAGGCCGUAAACCCAAGGUUUCCAGGGGAAGGUUCGUCCGCCCUGGGUUAGUCGGGACCUAAGCUGAGGCCGAAAGGCGUAGGUGAUGGACAACAGGUUGAUAUUCCUGUACUACCGAUAACCGUUUGAGAGAAGGGAUGACACAGUAGGAUAAGCUAAGCACACUGUUGGUUAUGUGUGCCCAAGCAUUGAGGCAGUCAAAGUAGGCAAAUCCGCUUUGAUAAUGCUGGGAUGUGAUGGGGAGCGAAAUUUAGUAGCGAAGUAGCUGAUUUCACACUGUCAAGAAAAGUCUCUAUCGAGGUUAAAGGUACCCGUACCGCAAACCGACACAGGUGGGUGAGGAGAGUAUCCUAAGGCCAGCGAGAGAACUGUUGUUAAGGAACUCGGCAAAAUGACCCCGUAACUUAGGGAUAAGGGGUGCCACCAUCAGGUGGCCGCAGAGAAUAGGCCCAAGCGACUGUUUACCAAAAACAUAGGUUUCUGCUAAGUCGCAAGACGAUGUAUAGGAGCUGACGCCUGCCCGGUGCUGGAA
rnacentral:rRNA from 1 species